rnacentral:rRNA from 1 species
UGCAAGUCGAGCGCUACCUUCGGGUGGAGCGGCGGACGGGUUAGUAACGCGUGGGAAUAUACCCAGUUCUAAGGAAUAGCCACUGGAAACGGUGAGUAAUACCUUAUACGCCCUUCGGGGGAAAGAUUUAUCGGAAUUGGAUUAGCCCGCGUUAGAUUAGGUAGUUGGUGGGGUAAUGGCCUACCAAGCCUACGAUCUAUAGCUGGUUUGAGAGGAUGAUCAGCCACACUGGGACUGAGACACGGCCCAGACUCCUACGGGAGGCAGCAGUAGGGAAUCUUAGACAAUGGGGGCAACCCUGAUCUAGCCAUGCCGCGUGUGUGAUGAAGGCCCUAGGGUCGUAAAGCACUUUCGCCAGAGAUGAUAAUGACAGUAUCUGGUAAAGAAACCCCGGCUAACUCCGUGCCAGCAGCCGCGGUAAUACGGAGGGGGUUAGCGUUGUUCGGAAUUACUGGGCGUAAAGCGCACGUAGGCGGAUUAGUAAGUUAGAGGUGAAAUCCCAGGGCUCAACCCUGGAACUGCCUUUAAUACUGCUAGUCUUGAGUUCGAGAGAGGUAAGUGGAAUUCCGAGUGUAGAGGUGAAAUUCGUAGAUAUUCGGAGGGACACCAGUGGCGAA